GCAGUCCAUCUUCUUCAUAAGUGAGACACACACAGAGAGCCCAGGGUGUCCCUCACUGAUGAGCUUGAGCUUUCUGUGAGACUACUGAAGCAUUCGAAGGACGACGCUGGACCAACCUGCCCUUAGACUUUAAAACGCAGCUUCAUAGUCAGCCGUUUAAGGUGAACCUGCCGGUGGGGGUGACAAGCCUCAAGGAUCCUCGUCAGGCCCACAGGCUGCCAGCCGCCGCCUCAGGAUACGGACGCUGCCGUGUGUCUUCUGAUAAAGGACAAGGACAUCAGGAGCUGAGCAGGAGACACACCAGGUGUUGUCUUGAGAUGAUGGAGAUCAAAGAUGGAGAUCACAAGCCUGCACUUUGGGUAAGAGAGAACCGCUCUACACGGUGGUGUCUGUUUUUCACUUUAUCUUUUGUUGGUUUCAGAGAAGGGAUUUUCCUCAAGGAAUGAACGUUAAUGUGUUAUUUUGCUAUGAAUCCAGAAAAGUCCUCACAGAGUCGUGUUGUCUUAAAGAGCAACAUCUCAAAUGACUGAAGAUAUUUCCACCAUUGGCUCCACUCACACUUUGAAACCCACAGCUUUAGCUGCUUUCCAGAGUUGUAAUAUAUUUUGAGAUUAAACAGAACCAGAAACUGGUCAAAAACAGUUUUUAUCUAUCACCUGAUGUUUAUAUGUCUUAAUCCUUUCAUGCUCAUUCACUGAGACAGAAUUAAGUUUCUUAAAUCCCUCCCUGGGCAGCAGUGCUGUGAGCGUGAAUGGGUGAACUGGGGAAAGUGCUUCUUCUCUUCGGUAGGAACACUUUGUAAACGUAUAAGACUCCAUUUAUGUUCCUGGUAAAGGCAAACCAACAACGAAUGAACACUAGUUGCUGACUACUGUGGGUCAUUCAAGCGGUGUGACCAGUGUUUAACCUCCUUCAUCUGGAUCCCAUGUUGAUUGUAAAGUCCAGUGGACAUAGUAUCGCUGCAGGGACCGGAGGGAAAGUCUUCUGUAAUGUCUCGUUAUCAACAAAGUGUUAUUUGUAUUUCAGAUGUCAGAGAGGAGCAUGAAGAAAGGUGAGCAUUACAUGCGCAUUAUCAAUUUAUAAGAUUUAUUUGGGUACAUCUGUGUGAGUGUCUGCAUGUGUGGAGAGCAGCAGCAUGGCAGGAAAUAAAUAUAAUGUAGGUCUACGGGGGGUUAACGCCAUUUCCUGUUGACCCCUCCCCAACAAAUAUGUUAUCUAUCUCUCUCUCUCUCUCUC